rnacentral:rRNA from 1 species
GACGAACGCUGGCGGCGUGCUUAACACAUGCGAGUCGAACGGUGAAGCUCCAGCUUGCUGGAGUGGAUCAGUGGCGAACGGGUGAGUAACACGUGAGCAACCUGCCCCUGACUCUGGAAUAAGCGCUGGAAACGGCGUCUAAUACUGGAUAUGAGAAGGGUCCGCAUGGACACUUUCUGGAAAGUUUUUCGGUUGGGGAUGGGCUCGCGGCCUAUCAGCUUGUUGGUGAGGUAAUGGCUCACCAAGGCGACGACGGGUAGCCGGCCUGAGAGGGCGACCGGCCACACUGGGACUGAGACACGGCCCAGACUCCUACGGGAGGCAGCAGUGGGGAAUAUUGCACAAUGGGCGAAAGCCUGAUGCAGCGACGCCGCGUGAGGGAUGACGGCCUUCGGGUUGUAAACCUCUUUCAGCAGGGAAGAAGCGAAAGUGACGGUACCUGCAGAAGAAGCACCGGCUAACUACGUG